rnacentral:rRNA from 1 species
UACGGAGGAUGCAAGCGUUAUCCGGAUUUAUUGGGCGUAAAGCGUCCGCAGGUGGUUAUUCAAGUCUGCUGUUAAAGCGCGAGGCUUAACUUCGUACAGGCAGUGGAAACUGGAUGACUGGAGUAUGGUAGGGGUAGCGGGAAUUCCCAGUGUAGCGGUGAAAUGCGUAGAUAUUGGGAAGAACACCAGCGGCGAAAGCGCGCUACUGGGCCAUUACUGACACUCAUGGACGAAAGCUAGGGGAGCGAAAGGG